UUCAAAUUAGCAUGUGGUGUGGGUAUCUUGUAUUUUUCUUUGUUCGGCUCUUUUGGAUAUAUAUAUCUUAUUUUGUUCAUGCAUAUUCUCUGUUGUGAAUAUUGUAUUGUUAAAUGACUGCAUUUCAAAUUGGUUCCUAUGCGUGUGUUUAUUGUAAUUACCUGAUUCAAUGUUGAUCUUAGAUCUUGAUUGGUUGUUAUUGUAUUUGGAUGUCGGUUUGGCUGUUUGAGGCUUGGUUGACUUUUCCUGUAACCAUCCGGUCAUCCAGAUUGAUCUUAAAUUUUUUUUCUUAAAAUUUUUUUUUAUGAUGCCUGUGUAUUUAUGAUUUGAUCAGCAAAUGAUUUGACCCUCAGUUUGGUUGGUUGAGAAACCUUUGGAAUAGAAACGUCUUUGAGUUUUGAAGCUAUAGUCUUGAUUUUAAAGAACAUG
rnacentral:misc_RNA from 1 species